AGAGUUUGAUCAUGGCUCAGAUUGAACGCUGGCGGCAUGCCUUACACAUGCAAGUCGAACGGCAGCACGGACUUCGGUCGGGUGGCGAGUGGCGAACGGGUGAGUAAUACAUCGGAACGUGUCCUGGAGUGGGGGAUAGCCCGGCGAAAGCCGGAUUAAUACCGCAUACGCUCUGAGGAGGAAAGCGGGGGAUCUUCGGACCUCGCGCUCAAGGGGCGGCCGAUGGCAGAUUAGCUAGUUGGUGGGGUAAAGGCCUACCAAGGCGACGAUCUGUAGCUGGUCUGAGAGGACGACCAGCCACACUGGGACUGAGACACGGCCCAGACUCCUACGGGAGGCAGCAGUGGGGAAUUUUGGACAAUGGGCGCAAGCCUGAUCCAGCAAUGCCGCGUGUGUGAAGAAGGCCUUCGGGUUGUAAAGCACUUUUGUCCGGAAAGAAAACCUUUGCCCUAAUACGGCGGGGGGAUGACGGUACCGGAAGAAUAAGCACCGGCUAACUACGUGCCAGCAGCCGCGGUAAUACGUAGGGUGCAAGCGUUAAUCGGAAUUACUGGGCGUAAAGCGUGCGCAGGCGGUCCGUUAAGACAGAUGUGAAAUCCCCGGGCUUAACCUGGGAACUGCAUUUGUGACUGGCGGACUCGAGUAUGGCAGAGGGGGGUAGAAUUCCACGUAGCAGUGAAAUGCGUAGAGAUGUGGAGGAAUACCGAUGGCGAAGGCAGCCCCCUGGGCCAAUACUGACGCUCAUGCACGAAAGCGUGGGGAGCAAACAGGAUUAGAUACCCUAGUAGUCC
rnacentral:rRNA from 1 species